UGUUUUUUUUGCAGAACUUUCCAUUGAAUGCAUUUUUAUGUAUUCAUCAUGGCUUAGGGGCUUUGUUCACAUCAAAUCUCUCAAGAAAUUUAAGAUAUAAUUCAAAAGUAUGAUGGACAAAUCAUAUAUAAUUGACAUCUGGUAUCAGCAACUCACGAGUUAUACCCGCGAGUGAUGAAAGAAAGGAAGUUCUGGAGGAUAUAUUUUAUUUUAGUUUACAGUCAUGUGGCUCCGUGAGUAAUUUUGUCCUUCUUUGUGGAUGAUUUCAUAUAUUGCUACGCAGUUCAGGCUUCCAUUCAUAGAUGUUUCAUAUAUUUUAUUUAAGUUAACAGUCAUGAGGUUGUGCCCUUUUUCUUCUUGUUGAUGUUUCAAAGUACAAAAUUUUUAUUAUAUAAGUUAUAGACAAGAUAUCCAUUCAUCAAUUUUUUUGUCUUUUCUGCAGUUGAGUUUGUAUUUGUUAGCUAGAUAUUUGUUAUAUUUCUGAUUGCUUUGCUAUGAAAAGCGAUACAUGGAAGAUGCUAAGAAGAAGUCUGCGGAAGAAAUGAAAGAUGGCGUGAAGGAGAGUUCAAGUGUUGGAACAGAUUCUAAAACAGAAACUGGGGGAGUAAGCCAGAAAAGUAAGAGUGUAUCCUCAUCAGCCACUAAGCAGGACUUGGAUGUAUUUCUUCUGGGAGAUCUUGGUGACAGUGAUGAUGGCCCAAGUAUACUGUUGUGUAUUACUAAUUUGAAAUUUCUAAUUUUAUGCGAGUGUCACCAUUAAACAAAUGAUUAUUAAGACUUUUAGUUUCCCCUUUAAUACAUAUUUGUUUAUUUGAACCAUCAAUGUCCCAAAUCUGGUUGUCUAUUAACAAUCUUUAUUUUCUGAAAACUUCUGCAUGAAAGAAUCAGCUACUACGUGUAUUAGUAGUUGUAACGUAAGUUGAUGGGCUCACUCUCUGUGUUAUCGCCACCAUAGUAGUUGCAUGUUUUUGGGCAGUCUCCAUGAUUUGGCCACAAUGAAUAGGACUCAAGGUCAUGAUUAAAAGAAUGAGAUUAGUAACGGGAUCUUUUUCCUGUUUUCUAGUUGCCAUUUAUAGAAAAUCCAAAUAAUUCAUAAGUUUUUGUGUCUUAGCCGAG
rnacentral:lncRNA from 1 species